GCAUGUGGGAUCUUCCUGGACCAGGGCUCAAACCCGUGUCCCCUGCAUUGGCAGGCGGAUUCUUAACCACUGCGUCACCACGGAAGCCCAGGAAUAGCUUUUAAUGUUGUUUUUGUCACGGUCAGGGUAUUCCAAAGCUAGUUAUAUGUGGUAGGGAUUUGGAAUGUAAUUCAAAAGCAGAUCAAAGACUCUCUGCACAUUCAAAAAUAUUCAGAGACCCAGCUGGGAAAUGUUAUAUUUUCAGAGGAGGAAACUGAGGCCCAGAGAAAUUAAGCCUGUGCUUUUCCCUUUCUCCGGACUGAGGCAGAGGUUGGACUAGAACACCUUCGCCGACUCCAGAUGUUCCCUUUAAAGCCUUAACGUUCUCAUCUGAAAAAUGGCCACAAUAACUCUUACCUUGUAGAAGAGAAAUAGGAUGAAUUAAGGCGCGAUUCCCAUACAAACCUUCACACUGGGGCCGGGCUCAUCAGCCACAGGAAGCCCCGCCGGAAGUCUUCAGGAAGGCCCACCGGCUUGCUGAUGGCUGGAUUCACAAAGACAUGGACUGAAGACCCAGUGGUACAGGCCAAAGCGGCAAACUGCGCCAGCUUGGGGUGGCCAAAGAAAAAGCCAUCACUGAGGUGCCGGAGAUCGACGGAAGGUGGCUCCUUGGUGGGCUUGGGGGGAAACAGAGCAAGGCGGUAAUGCACGCUGGAAUGACCAACUUUCUCCAUGACCAACACAGCCACUGCGAUCUGAGGAAAGCCGACCGGCGAGUGGGAGGUGCACUGAUUGGUCACUAUGAACCCCACCAUGGGGGACAUCAGCAAGCCCGUUUUCAGGCCGCAAUAUCUGGAAAGUUACAUCACAAUGCUUAUUCUGUAUAUAACAUUGUAUAUACUGUAUACAUUUAAUAUACUAACAGUUGUUAUACAUUGUAUAACAUUGUGUAACAUUUGUUAUACAAUUGUAUACACAUUGUGUAUGCAUUGUAUAACAUUUAAUAUACUAACAGUUCACAGAUAUGGUAAGUUCUCAUUAAACAUUGGCUAUUAUUAUUAUUG